GGGAGGAGAGAUCAUCAUAAAAUAAACCAGGAGCGAUUCUGGCAGCGGUAGUGGCGCUCUCUCUCUUCUUCCCACGUACCGCUUUAGCCGACCACCACAAAUCCACACAGUGACAAUAAUUCAUCUCUGCUUGCAACCACAACACCACACUAUCUACCGGACUCUCGCUUCAGUGCUGCUACUUUCCGUUUAAAAUACGCUCUGGAUUAGCGAGGGACAGACAGCACAAUAUCCGGGGGCUACCACGACUCGUUCUUCUCCCCUCAUAAUCUGAAUGACGGGCGGACGGUUCGAUUUUGACGAUGGUGGCACAUAUUGCGGUGGCUGGGAGGAUGGAAAAGCCCAUGGGCAUGGCGUCUGUACCGGGCCCAAGGGCCAAGGAGAAUACUCCGGGUCCUGGAAUAAUGGUUUUGAGGUAGUGGGGGUGUACACCUGGCCCAGUGGAAACGUGUAUCAGGGUUACUGGGCACAGGGGAAACGACACGGAUUCGGUGUGGAAUCGAAGGGAAAAUGGAUUUAUCGUGGUGAAUGGACUCAUGGAUUUAAAGGUCGAUACGGGGUCCGGCAAAGUCUCCACACGCCUGCUAGAUACGAUGGGACAUGGAGUAACGGUCUGCAAGAUGGAUAUGGAGUUGAAACGUAUGGUGAUGGAGGUACGUACCAGGGGCAGUGGACAGGAGGAAUGCGACACGGUUAUGGUGUGCGGCAAAGUGUACCUUACGGGAUGGCUACGGUUAUUCGCUCACCUCUUCGAACCUCGCUGGCCUCGCUCCGCAGCGAACAGAGCAACGGCACCGUCCUCCAUGCCAACCUCGACCUGUCAGACAGCCUUGCCGGCACCAGAGGAGGCUUUGUUCUCAACUUCCACAGCGAAGGCGAAGGUGAGAAGAAAAAAGGCCUGUUCCGAAGAGGGUCCCUGUUCGGCAGCCUAAGAAACCUCAGAAAGUCUGACUCCAGGUCGUCCAUAUCAAGCAAACGCAGCUCCGCCCGCAGCGAUGCCGCCAGCUCCAUCAGCCGAAUCAGCUCCAGUGAUGCCAAUUCCACCAUCAGCUUCGGAGAUGGAGUUGAUGAGUACAUGCCCCUGGAGGACAAUGUAGAUGCCACCACCACUGAGUCCUACAUGGGGGAGUGGAAGAACGACAAGCGGAACGGCUUUGGUGUCAGUGAGCGCACCAACGGGAUGAAGUAUGAGGGAGAGUGGAUGAACAAUAAACGCCACGGCUACGGAUGCACAAUGUUCCCAGAUGGCACCAAAGAAGAGGGGAAAUAUAAAAACAAUGUGUUGGCGCGAGGCAUCAAGAAACAGCUCAUUCCUCUCAAAAACACCAAAACUAAACAGAAAGUGGAUCGGGCUGUGGAAGGAGCCAUACGGGCAGCAGCUAUUGCCAAAACAAAAGUAGAAAUAGCCACUUCAAGAACGGCUCACGCCAGGACUAAAGGUGAUGCUGCUGACCAGGCCGGUCAGUCAGCCAGUCAGGACUCAGACAUCGCCAGGGCAGUGGCCAGGGAACUGUCUCCCAACUUCCAUCAGCCAGGCCCUGAUUAUAUAAAGCAGAGGUUCAAUGAACCUAUUGAACCUAUUGUCCAAGAGGAGAAGAAAGAGAAGUCCUCCUCAAGUAGCCCUCAUUUCUACCGUAAAGGCACAACCCCAGACCACUCUCCAACUGCGACUCCCCAGCCCUCUCCCCCACCAACACCCCCACCAGCGCCAGCCCCAGAGCCCAAGAAGAGCCUCUUCAGCAAGCUCACCCCCAAGCCAGGGAAAGAGAAUAAAACCCCUUCAGCAGAGAGCCAGGCCCCGGUCAUCACAAAGGCAGUCUCUAAGACAUCGUUGAAACAGGAAGUAAGACAAGAAGUGCCUCCCCAACCGAAAACUUUCAAGAUGGCGGAGUCGGUCCCCGUCAGCCCUGGCAAUGGACAGCUGCACACUGACACUGAGUACCACGGCUACUACAUGAAGGCAGACGUGAAGAUCCCCCCAGAUGAACCUGAGGGAGUAGAGGAGGAGCAUGUUACUCCGUCCACCUUUGCCCAGAUGACACAGCCCGCAAAACCUAUGGCGCAAUACAGGACACCCACCCCAAAACCUGGAGUGCCAAAGUCAGCAGCCAAAGAAAGCAAACCUGAGCUAACACUUAAGAAACAAGAUUCGUAUAAGCCAAAAAGCCUAGCAGAAACUAGGAAACAAGCCAGCUUGGAGAUCACCACGGAUUUCGUAGAGGAAGAGUCAGUAAGUAACUCAUACUGUAUGAUGAUGAAAAUGGGAAAACUGAAGCAAAGAGAAAGAAAGGUGUCAUUUCAGAACAACGUAUGAAACAUCAAAGGGUCCUAACUCAAUACUGGUUGCCCUUGUAAUGCUGUUGAAUAUUGGUCUAGCAAUAAUUUUUAUCCAUUUUUUAACCUGACGGAAUCUGAACUGAGUGAACUCAUCAAAACUAGUGGCAUAGGUCCCUAACUCUCUGCAUUUGCGUCAACGGCCUUUAAAAAUGGCACCGGUCAAGCACAGACACAGGCAAAGGAGGACUGUAAAUAGUGUGAAACAUUGGAGAAAGAUGAGACCAGGACCAUUCGGCCCAGACGCUGCCCAGUUUCGCUGGCGAUGAUUUGUGACUCGCUUUGGUUCUGUGAAAGCUGAAGCAAGCAGUCAUUGGGAAAGCAACAAAAAAACAAUCUGCUGAUCCAAGCUGUUUACCAGUCAAGUGCGUUGCCACUUCAUAUGCCCUGACAGGGGGGAUGUGGAGGGGGGUGGGCAGGGGGGAUAUGUUCAGAGAUGCACUUUUAGUUGACAGAAGCUAACAGCUGCCUUACUAUUUUACCAUCUGACGUUUUAGUGGGGAGAUGCAGUGCACAAGGCUGCCAGAGGAAUGUGUUUCGGCAGACUUUGCUGCCUUGGGAGUGCAUCUCGGUGUGUCUCAGUGUUCACUAUACUAUUCACUUGGUCGAUAAGAAAUCAUACAUGUUUCGAAGUGGCACUCACCAGUCUUAUUCCAUUCCCCACUGCUAAAGCCUUGUCUAACUUCUCAUGUUAGGACAUGCUUGUGCAUGGGGCUGUUUCAAGUGCAUCUGUUUUAUGUAUUAGUUAGUAACUGUUAGGUUUUCAUAAUUUUUUUUCCCUUUGUCUGUUUAUCCUUAGGUAUUACAAAUUAUUAAGAUAAGAUUUAUCUUAUUAUUAUUCAAGUCUAGUCCAUGCAUUUCUCAAACUUUUUGAAGAUCCUUCAAAUUCAAAGAAAUUUCCAUAAAGCCUAUGUUACACAAAUCAGUUCAUUUGAAAGAAAUUGCAACAAUUAAUUCCAGUUAUUGUGAGGACAUACAGUGCCUUGCGAAAGUAUUCGGCCCCCUUGAACUUUGCGACCUUUUGCCACAUUUCAGGCUUCAAACAUAAAGAUAUAAAA